CCUGACUGCUAUCGGAUUGAUACUAAGCCAUGCGAGUCAUUGUAGUAAUACAAGGCAGACGGCUCAGUAACGCGUAGUCAACCUACCUUAUGGACGGGGAUAACCUCGGGAAACUGAGAAUAAUACCAGAUAGAACAUUAUGCCUGGAAUGGUUUAUGUUUCAAAUAAUUUAUUGCCGUAAGAUGGGACUGCGGCCUAUCAGUUUGUUGGUGAGGUAAUGGCCCACCAAGACUAUUACAGGUACGGGCUCUGAGAGGAGUAGCCCGGAGAUGGGUACUGAGACACGGACCCAGGCCCUAUGGGGCGCAGCAGGCGAGAAAACUUUGCAAUGUGCGAAAGCACGACAAGGUUAAUCCGAGUGGUUUCUGCUAAAGGAACCUUUUGUCAGUCCUAGAAACACUGGCGAAUAAGGGGUGGGCAAGUUCUGGUGUCAGCCGCCGCGGUAAAACCAGCACCUCAAGUGGUCAGGAUGAUUAUUGGGCCUAAAGCAUCCGUAGCCUGCUUUGUUAGUUUUCGGUUAAAUCCAUAUGCCCAACGUAUGGGCUGCCGGGAAUACUGCAAAGCUAGGGAGGGGGAGAGGUAGACGGUACUCGGUAGGAAGGGGUAAAAUCCUUUGAUCUAUUGAUGACCACCUGUGGCGAAGGCGGUCUACCAGAACACGUCCGACGGUGAGGGAUGAAAGCUGGGGGAGCAAGCCGGAUUAGAUACCCGGGUAGUCCCAGCUGUAAACUAUGCAAACUCGGUGAUGCAUUGGCUUGAUGCCAAUGCAGUGCCGCAGGGAAGCCGUUAAGUUUGCCGCCUGGGAAGUACGUACGCAAGUAUGAAACUUAAAGGAAUUGGCGGGGGAGCACCACAAGGGGUGAAGCCUGCGGUUC
rnacentral:rRNA from 1 species